GACGAACGCUGGCGGCGUGCUUAACACAUGCAAGUCGAACGGAAAGACCCUGCUUUUGUGGGGUGCUCGACUGGCGAACGGGUGAGUAACACGUGAGUAACCUGCCCUUGACUUUGGGAUAACUUCAGGAAACUGGGGCUCAUACCGGAUAGGAGCUCCUGCUGCAUGGUGGGGGUUGGAAAGUUUCGGCGGUUGGGGAUGGACUCGCGGCUUAUCAGCUUGUUGGUGGGGUAGUGGCUUACCAAGGCUUUGACGGGUAGCCGGCCUGAGAGGGUGACCGGCCACAUUGGGACUGAGAUACGGCCCAGACGGCUACGGGAGGCAGCAGUGGGGAAUAUUGCACAAUGGGCGGAAGCCUGAGGCAGCAACGCCGCGUGCGGGAUGACGGCCUUCGGGUUGUAAACCGCUUUCGCCUGUGACGAAGCGUGAGUGACGGUAAUGGGUAAAGAAGCACCGGCUAACUACGUG
rnacentral:rRNA from 1 species